CGCCAGGAAAUCCCUUCCCCAUUUGCAUAACCAAUCCCCACAGUGCAAAGGUGGAGUCUCAGGGCUUAAUUUUCAUUUUAAUCUUUGCCAAAGUCCCCCCCCCACCUCUCCGCGAGCGCACACACAAAAAAGACUUGUUACCCCCAUGAAAUGCAAAGCUACCCACUCAACUUUCUGCCCUUCAAGGGCCAUCUGUGUGUAAGAGACACUGUGUGUGUGUGUGUGUGUGUGUGUGUGUGUGUGUGUGUGAUAUUCUAAUAUCAGGUAGAAGUCAAUCUGUCUAAAUCUUUGACUGCAAUCCUAAAGAACAGUUACUGUGAUGCUAACCUCACUGACCACAGAGGGAUUUGCUUCCGAGUAAACAAGCUUAAAGCCACAGUUGCAAAAGUCCGUGAAAGCUACCUAUAUAUUUCAUUCACUGAAUAUGCAUUCUGUCUUUAUUUUGUCUGCUUGUUUAUGGGUUCCGAGUCUUUUUACACCGCACUUCGCCCGUAUACUCCUCUAUACCUAUUAUCUCUGUUUCCUAACUGCCCCUCUGACUAUCUCCUUGCAAGUGUGAAAGGAGAGCAGAAGGUGGGGGGAAGCAAUUAUUAUUUCCCCCCAAUUCUCAGCCUUUGCAUACACCCCAAGAGAAAAAUGUCGAUAUUUUCUCCCUCCCACCCACAAAAAAGAGCAGCAGGGACUUAUUAACACACACACACGAGAGAUCCUCGCUGCAUUCACUCUCAAGUAAAAGUUGUAUCUCCAGCAGAAGGUUUUGCCUCUAAGUAAGCGCGCUUAGCGGCUUUGAAACGCCCCAUAAAUUUAUUUUUAUUUUUUUAAGGACCAGGAGUUCAUUGACCACUUGUUAUAUAUCUUCAGCGCUAAUUCAGCGUCUUCCUUUCUCCCCCUAAGUUUUAUUAUGAAUAGUUUUGUUUUGUUUUCCCCGCCUGCCCCGUCACUCUGGCAUCUGCAAUUUGAAAGGGGCGCGAAGGAAAAGCAAUCGAGGGAGGAAGCCCAUAAACAAACAAACAAACAAACAAACAAACAAAUGAUCCCUAGAUCUCUCUUUCCCUGCUGCAGAUCCCGUCUUGCUCUAUAGCCGCGCGCUGCGAGGAAGCCUGCGGGAUGCGAACCGCACAGCCUCCGGGUGUCUCCUUGCAACUUUCAGUUCCUUUGAGUUGGGCUAGUUCUGUGAAUGGUGUUCACCGUUUUCCGCCUCGCAUCCAGUAGGAUUUAGCGAAGAGGAUAAUGAUGCCAAAGACUUGAUGGCUGGGGAGGGAGGGAGGGAAGGAGGCAGGCAGGCCAGGGGAGGGUGGAAAAGAGGGAGGGAAAGGCGGAGGGGAGGGGGGAGGAGGAGGAGGAGAGAGAGAGGGAGGUGGAAUUUCAUUUCUUCCACUAAAGCGUUCGCGGAGACUUCAAGGUAUAAUCUAUCCCAGAUCCUUCCUUUCCCAGAGAGAAACUUGGCGAUCACGUUUCCACAUGAUGCUCACGUUUGGCGCUCUUCAAUUAUCCCUCCCCACAAAGAUAGGUGGCGUGUGUUUCAGGGUCCUCUCUCCUCUCUCUCCUACAGAAAAGAAAAAGAAAAAAAUGUCAUUAGAAGAGGCGUAACACGUCAGUCCGUCCCCAGGUUUGUGUUUCCUGGAGUGGCAGAAAGAGAUCAGUCCUAACCUGCCCAGCAGGAAUAACGGUCCCUUCCGACAACUCUUUCCGAGGCUUUUUGACCAUUUUGUCCUCUCUUCCAACCAGCUACAUCUCCCUGCACCUUUUUUUCUCCCCUCCUUCCUCCACUCCGCGGCUUUUUCAUGCUUCUUCUUCUCUCCAUUGCUGACCAAAACUACACACAAGACUUCGCAGGUACGUUCUCGGUUAUAUUUUCCUCUCUUUUCUAUUUUUGCUCAUUGUUGUUCCGCCUCUCCCUCUCGUUCUUUCUCUCUUUCUCCCCACCUCUUUUUCUUUUAAAAACAAUUGCUGUCUUGGGGUCUGUUUUCCUUGUCUACAGCUAGGGAGGAAGUGGUGAGGUGGGGUGAGUUCUCAUUUUUGAACUGAAAUCUACAUUUACUUGGGAUCACUUUCUGAGAGAGAGAGAGGAAGGGAGUUGUUUCUGCCUGCAAACUGUUAUUACCUAGGGUCUCCCCGCUCUCCCAGGACAUAUACCCACCUGGCUUACCAGGUGGAAAAGGUUAUUUUGCCCCCCCCUCCAUUUUUAUUUUACGUUUUAUAGUUCCCACCAGGAGUAGGAAAGUUCGCCUUUCUAUUAUUCCUCGGUCUGUUGUGGUUUUGUUUUUGUUUUUAAAGCAGCAUUCCGCUCGCUUCUCUUCGUCCUCACGUUUACACAUCUUAAAGUUUGCACGUACCUGUUAAUGAUUUUCAAGCUGUGAACAAGACCAACACAGGCACGGCUGGAUAAUAAGAUUUUAGUUGGGGCUUUGCUUUAAAAAGAACUCCCAGCAAACCAGCCCCACCAAAUGUAUUAUUAGCUGGCUGCAGCUCUUAGGGUUAGUGGCAGGCUUCUAUUUAGUCUCUUCCAAAGCAACCAAGAAAGUUUUCUUUUCUUUUCUUUUCUUUUCCUGUUCUGUAUGCUUAGUCAGUUUCAUUUCUUGCUUUUAUUUCUCUGAGACUGGGUGAAGUUAACACCUCAGCUUCUGGGAGUCUCAACAAGAAGUGAAAGUAGUGACUGCAACUUGCUUAAAAGUCGUUUGUAGCACAAAAAUAUUUUAAAAAUGUAAAGAGGGAAACAAAAUCAGAAUUCGCCCAGGAAGAGACGAGGGCUGGAGUAGGGGGACUUUGGUGAGAUCCCAAUUUUCACAAUUUUUAGCAACCUUUAAAAAAAUGAAUAUCAAAGGGUAAGCAGGCAGUGAGAAUCCUUGACGGUGAUCCUCUCCAUUGGUAGAUUCUUAGAGAAUUUCGCCACUUACCCAAGGAUGCUUUCAAGGAUCAGGUUGUUGUUUUGAAUAAUUUCUUAGCCUCCUGCUAGAUCUUUUCUUUUAAUGGAGAAGAUAGUUGCUACAGAGUUAGAAGUCUCCAGCAAACAUGAAAUGGGGUGCUGAUUCCCUUCGCUCUUCCACACACACAUUUUAGUGGCUCAAGAUGGGUUCAUAGGCAGCUGAGUCCAAGACACAGGGCUGGCCUCGCUUGUGCCAUCUUACACACAACACAGUGUACACACACCUUACACGCACAACACAGUGCAUUUGAAGCUAAUCUCCAAACAACACACUGCCGCAAGGUUUAUUACAUUUCAUUUCUUCCUUUCUUGAAUCGCCUUUAAAGUUAAUAGGGAAACAACCACAUAAAAGGAAGGGAAGAAAUCCCCCUCCCCUUCUCCUGCCAGAUCUGUAAAGUUCUGCGUUGUGCAGCCCAUGCUUACUCGUAAGUAAGUUCCCCUGACUUCAGCGGGACUUGCUCUCACGCAAGUGCGGUGAGAGGUUUUCCAGCCUAAAGAGACGAGCCUGCGAGUCCAUUUCUAGAUGGCAAAAGCCUAGUAUAUAAAUAAAAGGGGGAAGACAAAAGACGAGGUUAGGAUAAAUUUGGUCCAGGAGAGCAAGGGUUAAUUGUCCUUGUUUUACAGUUUGCAUCUGCUGCAUCUUUUAUAGUCUCUCUCUCUCUCUCUCUCUCUCUCUCUCUCUCACACACACACACACACACACACUACCCAGUUCGCCUUCCUUGUUUAAACUCGUCCUUAAGUCAGAGUAUACUGGGUUGUGGUUGUUGUUGUUUGUGUUGUGCUGUGUGGGUGCAUGUUCUGAAGCUUCAGCGUUUGCUUAGAUCAGCCAGACAGCGAGGGGUUUCCUCGUUUCCCCAGUUUUGACAGUCUUAAAGCUCACAUCCAGUUUGCGGCCGUGUCAGCGAGAAAGUGCACCAGUUUUACAAGACUCUGUGCGUGUGUGUGUGUACACACAGAGAGACAAUUUUUAAAAAAUGAGAUCCACUAAUAAGAAAGUCUCACAAGAGUAGUUUCACAUCUCUCCCGCAACCCCUCUUCUUAUUUUCUUUCUAAAGAAGGGAGGCUGAAAUUACAUUUGGGGAGGGGGGGGGAGAACCCUGUGCAGGAUAUUGCCAACGUGACUUUAAAAGUGUGAGAAACGUGGGGGGGGGGGGAGAGCGAGAGCGAGAAGGCAGAUAAGCCUGUUCUUCUGCAGCUCUUAUCAGUUCGUAGCCAUAUACUUUCAAUAUAGAUAUAUAUUAAGGUGUCAUUGGUUAUGCAAACAAGAGACAGCGUCGUGAGGUCCUCAGUACUUUUCGGAGGAAAAAAUCCGCCCAGCGAUUUGAGUCAAGUAACGUUUUUUUUUUCCUGUUUAAAAACUCGCACAUACAGAGAGAGAGAGAGAGAGAGAGAGAGACAGACAGAAAACAAAACCAUUAAAACCGAGUGCAUUCCCUCUACGGGUCAUGAGUCAUUUCUGAAGAUGUAAUACUUGUGUGUGUGUGUGUGUGUGUCUGAUCACUGGUGGUGGAGGGGGAAAUAAUAAUAAUAAUGUUAAUAAUAAUAAUAAUAAUGGGAGGUAUUUUGUCUGUUAAAAGAAGAGCAUGCAUUUCAAGGAAAGAAAGACAAAAGUCACCCCCACCCCCAGCCAGACACUUCCGAGGAAGGGCGAAGGGAGAGCGUGUGUGUGUUUUUGUGUGUGGCGCUGCGUGGUGCGCAAGGCGAGCGCUGCUGUGCGCGGCGCCUGGGCUGCUCGGGGUGGGGGUCCUUCUUUUGUGCAGGGUGGGGAGGUGUCGGGGUGGGGGUGGGGGGGUUGCCUGUGGGGAGAGCCUCUCCGCUGUGUCCGUGGGCUCCCUUUGGCGCCGCGCGUUUGAACGGGAUCUCGCCAUGCCCACCCGGUGCCUCUGUUUGGUUGCUCCAUAGAGUCUGCGUGCUGCUGAAUCAGGGAGUCGAGUCCAUGCGAGCUGCCAUCUGAUCCACUCUUAUCAAUGAAGCAGCAGAUCAUGGCGGAUGGCCCCAGGUGUAAGAGGCGAAAACAAGCCAAUCCAAGAAGGAAAAACGGUAAGGAGAGAAGGGAGCCGCCGGGGAAGGGCAGAGCGGGGGAGGGGGAAGCCCUCCAUCAAACUUUUUUCCCUUCUUCAUUUUUUUUCUUUUUUUCUACUUUGGGUCCUGGCGACACUUCGAGACGAUUGCCGGCGGAGUGGGGAGGGGGGGAGGGUUUGGAGAAAAGGCAAGGAAAUAUGAAGGGAGGUGUGCGUAUUUGGACGAAGCGGGGGAUGUGUUGCUAGAAAAAAAGCAGCAAAAAGCCCCCCUAACCCCCCCCCCCAAUGCCCGCGGUGGGUUUGGAGCAGGGCGAUCGCUUGCGCCGCGGCGGAGAAAAGAGAGAGGAGGAAAGGGGGGGGGGGAGACCCACCGAGAGAGAGAGAGAGAGAGAAAGAGACGGAGGAGGGCGAGCUAGUGAUCUGUCCGUCUUGUUUGUUGUGUAUUUCUGGAGCGGAGAGAGCGAGAGUUUCAGGGAGCCCGAGAGAAAGUGAGUGGCAGAGAGGAUCGGCGCUGGGGGAUCCCAGGGCGUUGCUAUUCCUGUGUGUGUCUGUGUGCCCCCCCCCCCGCGAGCGCUCCUUAAGAUUUGGUUCGCUUCACACACAUCCUCCACCCACCUCUUUCCUUCUUUUUGGGGGGGGGGGGGAGAAGUCCGAUCAAAGUAGGCAGGGGGGGAGGUCCCGGGGCUUCCUUGGAGGAGUUGAUGGCGGAGGGGGGGAGAUUCCUUAAGGAAGCGGAGCGGGGGUGGGAGACUCCGGGCUCUGAGAGGAAGGAAGAGAGAGAGGAAAGGAGAUUCCUCCUCUCCCCCCCCCCCUUCCAGUCUCCGUCGCUUCUCUUGGCUCAGGGCGUUGGGAAAAGCAGAAAGUUUCUCGCCUCUGGGACGAGUUAGCUAACGGUCCCGGCUGCUGCGCUCCUGCGCCGGCGAGAUCGCCCAAGAAGACCCGUUAGAUUCCUCUCGCCCGCUCUCUUUCCUCUUCCCCUCCUUCCUUCCUUCUCUCUCUCUCCCUCCCUCUGGCCCCGCCGUUGUCUCUUUCUUGUUUCCCUUUGAUCGCUGCCUUCACGGCCACAAUCACCUCUCAGCCAAGCCAAGCCAGCCUUUCUCUCUCUCUCUCUCUCUCUCUCCCUCCACCCCCCUCCUUCUCUCACAAGACCCAGGAAAAGCAAAAGAGCUGAGGGUGAGAGAGAGAGAGAGAAAGAGAGAAAGAAAGAAAAGAAAAGGCACUUUGGAAAACGUCCGGUAGUUUUCACGUUGUCAUGACCAGAUCCUUCCUUGUGUUGUGGGAGGGGGGGAGCAGGAGGGAAUGGACACACCGCGAAAGGAGGGGUGGAUUACAGGGAGGGGGGCGAUCUUUGAACAGCUCCAUUAAAACACAUACGCAGGAAAACCUCAACCGCUUAGCCAGACCCUGGGAAAAGCAGGGGGGUGGGAGGAGGAGGAGGAGGGAGAGCAGCGUGAGAAAUCUGGAGCCGAGCGGGCGGAAGAGUUACUUUUCGGGGGCGGCCAAGGAAACUCCCUCUGUCGGGCAGGCAGCAGUCGGGAGGGUCGUGCGUGUCUCGCGCGUGGCCCUCUCUCCUCUGAUCGCGGAAGAAGCGGUCGGAGAGGGAGGGGGGGUCCUACGCGGCCCCGGGACAUAUCCUGCGUCGGAUGUUUGGGGAGGGGGGUUUCAGCUGCCCCCUUUCUCUCCAGGUCCUUCCUUUCUUAUUUGACUCACAAGUUCCAAGUCUCUCGCCCCCCCCCCCGCGCAACUAAACACUCGCACACUCCAGCCCCACACCAUUCCUUGGCCCUCACUCUGAGCAACUUUUCUCUAGAGUUGAGGGCGGGGGGGGGGCAGUGGAGCAUGAGGAAGACACUGGUGUAAAGCCGAACCGAUGUUACUUGCAAUAUUUUUGGGCUGGCGGAGGGGUGGAGGACAGGAAAGGAAAGGAAACACAAAGAGAAAGCUUGGUUACAAACAAAUGUGGGCGAGUUUUUGUGCGUUUCCCCCGUCGCUGGGGAGGUGUGAGAGAGCGACUUUUCAGGGCAGAAAGUCCUGGCCAAGUGCGCCCCACGGGCUGCCGUGUCUCCACUCACCCCAUCCCACCUCCCCGGGGCUGCUUUCC